GACAGAGUUUGCAGCACCAGCAGCUGAUGUGAAACAAGAAGACCAGCCGGACUCGUCCAUUUGGUUUUGUUCACAAACUAAGAACUUGUGUCUUGUAAGCUUUUUGCUGUUUUUUACACUGAUGCUUGUGGCUUAUUCCAGCUUUUUCUCCUUCUUCCCUGGGUGUUGCCAAAGGUACUCUUCAGCAGAAUGCACAGGCAGUAGCUUUUGGUCAUUGUUGAAAGCCUUACUUUGCCCUCAAAUGAGGCUAAGGCAUGGGGCUCCUCCACCUGUUUGACUCAGUAAUCAAUGUAAUUUUCAAAAUAAAGAGCACUUUUAAAUUUUAACUGUUUUAAAUGAACUUCAUAAUUUUAGCUUGUGUAUACAUUUAUUUUUCUGUUCACCUAUAAUGCCAGAAUAACUGAUCAUGUAGUUGCUCAUUCUAAAUUAUAUCUUUCUCUUACAUAGAAUGUAGAACAUAAAACAGUAUAGCACAGGAACAAGCCAUUUGGCCCACAAUGUUGUGCUGAACCAGCUAAAGAGCAAAUCAAAAACACCAAACACUAAUCCCUCCAUCUUCCUUAAAUCCAUGUGCUUAUCCAACUGUUUCUUAAAAGUUUCUAAUGUAUUUUACCUCUACCACCAUACCAGGCAGUGCAUUCCGGGUAUUCACCACAUGCUGAGUAAAAAAUUUGUUCCUCACACCCUCCUUGAACCUAUCCCCUUUCGCCUUCAAUGCAUGUCCUCUGGUAUUAGGCAUUUCAACCUUGGAAACAGAUAUUUCCUGUCUACUCUAUCUGUCAGAUCUCCUCCAUUGUUCCAUAGAAAACAACCCAAGUUUAUCUAGCCUCUCAUGAUAGCACAUGCUCCGUAAACCAGGCAGCAAUCUGGUAGACCUCUCUAUACCCUCUCCAAGGCCUAAACAUCCUUCCUAUAGUGGGGUGACCAGAGCUGUGUGCAAUACUCCAGACGUGGUCUAACCAGAGUUUUGUAAAGUUGCAACGUAAACUCUUGACUUUUGAACUCAGUGCCUCAGCUAAUAAAAGUAAGCAUUCUGUAAGCUUUCUUAACCACCUUAUCGACCUGUGUAGUCACCUUCAAGGAGCUAUGAACUUGGAUCCCAAGAUCUCUCUGCUUAGCAACGCUGUUCAGGAUCUUGCCCUUAACAGUGUACUGUCUCCUUGCAUUUGCCCUACGAAGGUGCAACAUGUCACAUUUAUCUGGGUUAAUCUCCAUCUGCCAUCUCGCUGCCCAUAUCUGCAACUGAUCUACAUCUUUGCCAGUUUUGUACACCACCAAUUUGGUGUCAUCCACAGAUUUACCUAGCCACCCAUCUACAUUUCCAUCCAGGUUAUUUAUAUACAUCACAAACAGCAGAGGUUCCAGUACAGAUCCUUGUGGAACUCCACUGAUUACAGAUCUCCAGCUCAAAUACCUCUUCAAUCACCACCUUCUGUUUUCUAUGCAUAAGCCACAUCUGAAUCCAAACAGCCAACUUGCAGACCCUAUGCAUCUUAAUCUUCUGGAUUAACCUCCCAUAAGGACUUGGUCAAACACCUUAUAAAAAUCCACAUAGACAAAUUGCACUGUCCUACCCUCAUCAAUCUCUCUCAUCACUUUGUGAGGCACAAUCUGACACACACAAAGCCUAAUUAGGACGUGGGUUUCCAAAUACUCAUAAAUCCGUUCUCUAAGAAUUUUCUCCAGCAAUUUCCCUACAACUGACAUGAGACUUAUCUAUAGAUCCAAGUUAUUUCCCCUUGUUCCCUUCUUAAAUACAGGUACAGCAUACAGCCUCCAGGACCUUGCCUGUGGAUAGAGAGGACAUGAAGAUACUGGUCAAGGCGCCAGCAAGCUCGUCUCUUACUCCUUCAAUAACCUGGGGUAAAUUCCAUCAGGCCCUGAGGACAUCCACCUUAAUACUCAUUAGGAUAAGGAAGUCCAACACUUCCUUCUUGACUUGCAAGCAGCCUAAUGUAUUUAUACAGUCAGCAUUGACAUCCUGAUUCUCCAUACCCCUUUCCCUGGUAAAUACUGAAGCAAAGUACCUCACUCAAAUUCUCUGCAUUGUAGCAAAUAUUCUCCCUUUUAUCCUCGAGUGGUUCCAUCCUCUUACUCUUGAUGUAUGUAUAGAAUGGCUUGGGAUUCACCUUAGUCCUACUUGCCAUGGACUUUUCAUAGCCCCUUUGGCUUUCAUAAUUCCCUCCUUUAGUUCUUUUCUGUCUUUAUACUUCUCAUGUGCUUCAUUUGAUCCUAACUUCUUAAUUUUUACAUACUUUUCCCUUUUCUUCUUGACUAAAUUAAUUCCCUCUCUGGACAUCCAAAGUUCUCUUAACUUUCCAUCUCCAUCCUUACUUCCAACAUGAACUCUCACCUUUACCCUGUGCAGUCAAUCUUUAAACCCUCUCCACAUGUCUGAUGUGGACUUGCCAGAAAAAAGGUGUUCCCAAUUAAAUCUUCUUAGUUCCUGUCUAAUGCCCUUGUAAUUUGUCCUCCAAUUUAAAAUUCUCUUGCAGGAACUAUAGCUAUCCUGAAAGAUAACAAGUUGUGGUCACUGUUCCCUAACUAUUCAUUCAAUGAAAGGUCAGUCACCUGGCCUGCCUCAAUAGCCAACACCAGGUCCAGUAUGGCCCUUCCUCAUGUAUGGUUAACAUAUUGAUUUAAGAACCCUUCCUGAAUACAUUUAACAAAUUCUGCUCCUUCUAAACCCCUCGUCUAAUAAGGUCCCAGUUUAAAUUAAGGAAUUUGAAAUCCCCAAUGGCAACAACCCAUUUCAAAUUCACACAUAUCCUUAAUCUGAUUAUGUAUCUGUUCCUCAAUGUCCUGGUGGUUAUUGGGGUGGGGGUGUCUAUAGUACAAUUAGUGCAAUGCAGCAACCUUCCUAUUCCUGAGUUCUACUCAAAUGGACUCAGCGUUUUACCCCUCCGUAUGUCUUCUCUGAGUGCAGUUGUGAUAUUGUCCUGGAUUAGUAGCGCAACUCCCUCCCCACCCCUUUACCUCCACUGUCUUUUCUGAAACAUUGAAAACCCAAUGCAAUAAUCACCCAUUCCUGCCCUUCUCUCAAUGGCGAUAGCAUCAUAGUUCUACGUACUGAUUCAUGCUCCAAAUUCAUCACUUUUACCUAUAAUACUCCUAGCAUUAAAAUAUACACACUCCAAACUAUGUUAUUUCAAUUUUGCCUUUCAAUACUUUCCCUGAUAACUACCUUUCCCCAAUGACCUGGUGCUCCUGUUCCCAGCCCCCUGCAAAACUAGUUUAAACUCUCCAGAGUAGCAUCAGUAAACUUCCCAGCCAGGUAUUGGUUCCCUGCCAUUUCAGGUACAAUCUCUCUCUCUCUUGUACAAGUCUUCCCCUUACCCAAAAAUGGUUCCAAUGAUCCAAAGAACUUGAAACCCUGCUUUGGUUGUUUAUACAUACAUGUUAACUGUUUAGGAAGGCUGAAAAGUAACAUACCAUUUCUUCUAAUAGACAAUUUUUCUUUUCAUUAGUUGUUGAUUUUGUGAUUUGGAGCCAUUAUGGAAGGAGAAACUCAGUCUUACAAACCCCCCUCAAAGGAUUUUGUAGCCCAGUGCAUUUUUUUGGUUUAAAAUGACCUUCAAAUGUUUCUGAUUCCAUUUAGUAAAGCAAUUUAAGUCUGGAUAGUGUAUUUUUCCUUCAUUAAUAAAAUGAACUAAAAAACACAGAUUAUAUAGAUAAGUAACUUGGACAAAAUGUAGAUGGGUUGAUAAUUCAGAUGCAGACAACACAAAAGUUGGUGGAAUUUUGGAUAGUGAGGAAGGUUGUCAAAGGAUAAAACAGGAUAUGGAUCAGUUGCAAAUAUGGGUAGAGAUAGUAGAUGGAGACUGGGCAGCAUUGAAGUCAUACAAUUUAGGAAGUCACUGCAGCAAUAUAAAACAUUGGAGAGAGUGUUGCCUGGACUAGAGAAAAUAAGCUAUUAGAGAUGUUAGAUAAACCUUCAUGUUUUUUUUUCUGGAGCAUUAGGGGCUGAGGGGAGACCUGAUCGAAGUUUAUAACAUUUUGAGAUACAUUAUUAAGGAAAAUGGAGUCCUUUUCUUUGGGUACAAUUGCCAAAUACAAAAUGGCACAGCUUUAAAAUGAGAGGUUUCUUACAUAGUGAGUGGCAAGUGUCCUUUCCACGUAUGGUGUUUAUGAGGCACUUGGGCACAUAAACAUACAGUGAAAUGAAGGAUAUGGAUCAUGUGCAGGCAGCCAGUUUAGUUUAAUUUGGCAUCAUGCUCACCACAGAGAUCAUGGACUAAAGGCCCUGUUUAUGUGCUGUACUGUUCUAUCAGCAGGUCAGGCUGUGUCUGUGGAGGCAGAGGGACAAUUAACUUUAAGGGUCAACAUUUAAGGCUCGAUUUUUUUUGGAAAAAAAGACCAAACCAGUUCCUCUGCAUUUUCUUUUACUUUGAUGGACUUGUCCUUACCCUCAACAACUUCUCUCUCAAUUUCUCACUUUAUGUUGCUCAGUGGGCACUUGUAUGAGCCCUAACUAUGCCCAUGUAUUUGCUGGCAAUUUCAGCACACACCCCUUCCCCAAAUUUUCUGUACUGCAUCUGAACUAUUUCAUGCACUUGUAUGUAACUUAUCCACCCUUGUCAACAGACUUCCUCAAAUUGCUCUGGACUGAUUCUGACACUAUUCUUCCUUUCCUGGAUCACUGUCAUCUCUUUUUCAAUUUCUCCAUCUCUUGCAUCUGCUGUCAAGAUGUGGCCUUAGACCAUACAGUUCAAGCCUUCUGAAAUGUCUCCUGCUUCCUGAAAGGUGGAUUCACCUCUACUAUAGUUGAUAGAGCUCUAACACAUAUUUCCUCAACUACUGGCAAAUCUUCUUUCCACCCACUAGUCUCCCCCCAGCCAUAACAAAUUUUCUUUGCUUUGCACUGUUCUCCCCACGAGCCUGUUUCUGCAUUCUUUGCCAUGUCCUCCAGCUUCAACGUGAUCUUACUACCAGUCGCGUUUGUCCCACACCUGUCUACGAUACCCUCCUCACUGAACCCAGGCACUUUCUUUUGCAAUUCUACAAGGUGUAAUUGUCACUUCACAUUCUCUGACAUUGUUCAGGGACAUAAACAUCCCUCUAGGGGUGAGAAAGUCACCUGCAUUUCUUCCAACCUGCUCUAUUUCACACAGUAAUCAUAAUGUAGCCGUAUCUACAUUGGAGAAAGCAAGCAUAGACAUAGACCAGUACUGCACUAGAACAGGCCCUUCUACUUGCACAAGGCCCAUAUUGCUCCAUUUUCUGCAAAUUCAUGUACUUCUCCAAGGGACUCUUAAAUGCUUCUAUAUUUACCUCCACCACCACUCCUGGCAGCGCAUUCCCAAUCACUAUGUGUGUAUGUAUGUGUAUUGUCCAACACAUAUGAUGCAACAUGACUUCCAAACUUUUGUACUCAACAUCUCAACUGAUGGAGGCAAGUAUGCUGCACUCUUCUCCAUCCUGUGCCACUUUCAAAGAGCCAUGAACUUGUAACCUAGAUUCUCGCUGUACAUCCAUGCUCCAAAAAGUCCUGCCCUUUACUGCCACUUUCCUCUCACAUUUGAUCUCCAAAAGAGCAAUGCUUCACACUGCUCCAGAUUGAACUCAACCUGCCAUUUCCCUGCCCACAUUUCUAACUGAUCUAUAUCCUACCCAUAAUUUGAUAAUUUUCCUCACUAUCCACAACUAUGCAAAUUCUUGUCUCAUCUGCACUUAAUUUUACAUAUCCAACAUAAUAGUUAAUGUUCCAGGUCACUGCAGGUGCUGCCAAGCCUGAUUUAAUUUGUAUUACUGGUGUUCUGCAUCUAAAUCAAAGGUAAAAGGUACUGAUUAUUUAAAAAACACAUCCUUUUAAAACAAUUGCUAAUGCAGUAAUUGUAAAGAAUACCAAAACUUAAUCUGUUUAUUGGGAAAUGAAAGCAGAAUAACUUGAACACAGUUUAAUUUUGUCAAGAACAAGAAUUAAAGAUUGCAGUAUUAUUUAAAGUAUACUGUAAAAAUUAAUUGAACAGUAAAAUGAUCUACUUCAGAAAAUGCCAAUUUCAACUCUCAGCUCAUCAGGUGUUUAUGGGUUGAAGGCCCACAGCAGCACUGCUUUUAGACGUACCAUCUUUUAAAAUAAUUUAUAAACAGCAGCCCUGUUCAAGCAUUUCAGAAAGAUAGAAGUUAUCUGUGAUAUUAAAAGAAUGAACAGUUUUACCAUGUCUGUAAAUUCAAUUGAAGAAGCAGAUACAUCAGUUGUUGAGUAAAUUGGCAACUGAGUACCAUGAGAAUAAUCAAUUCAGAAUUAAUUAGCUGGGAACUGUUUCAAAUAUGAUAAAGAGCAAGACUGUUCUCAGUAAAGCAGGGAAUCUAUUAUAAUACGUGAAAACAGUUUACACCAUUGACCACCUGUCACAGUGGGUUAUUGAAGUAUAAACUAACGAUAGGCAUUUUCACCAUUUGAAGGGAAUAACAAGUCAUUCAGUCUAUUCAUAUUUGUAAUCUAUUUGUAGAACUGCAAAAUAGAAUUUGCAAAAUAGAUUUAAUAUGUUACAUUAAGUAUAAUCAAAUGUGAAUAGAUUUUCCAAACCUUUUUAAACUUGGUCGAUAAAGUAUUGCAAGAUAUUUUGUUAGUGAUUGAUCUGCAAAUAUGGUUCAUCUUUAAACUCAUUGUCCAAGAUAAAAAUAUCAUUUAAUGCUAUCCAAGUAAUAAGAAAUGAGCCAUAUUCAAUGUUCAAUCACACAUAUAGUAAGUUUAAGUUAAGCUGUAAAUUAGUUUUUGUCUGAAAGUAAAAGUCACAUAAAGACAAGAGGCAAGUUACUGGAAAAGAUUCUGGAAUUGUGGCACCAAGCUGUUGACUAAAUGGCAACUUGUCAUCUUUGUAUUACAUUAAUCAGUAAAUCAGUUGAGAAACAAACUCACAUUAUUGAAACAUCCAGUAACUUUGUACAUACUAAAUUAUACAAGUUGUGGAGGAGAUUGCCACAGAGUUGUGAUAUUUAUUCAUCACACAAGGACGACACUAGUGGUCCUCCAAAUAUGACACCUUUCACAACAGAUGUGAUGAAGUGUGCCAACUGACACUGGAACCCAUUGGGCAACAACAACUGUUUGCACAGAAUUAAACUUCUUUAAAAUCAAAAAGAAAAAUACUUAGGUUCAGCAAGCUAACUGAAUAAUGAUACCCCCUCUCCAGCAUUUACAUUAUUUUACAAACUCCAAAUUCUGAGGCCAAAAACAUGGGCUAUGACUCUUCACAAAAUCACUACUCAUAUGGCAUAUCACUCUUUCGAUACAUUUGUUCAGAUUAUAUAUUCUUGGACUGUUUGUAGAAUGCUUUUAUCCUGAAUGAUUUUACUUAAAUUGAUCUCAAGCCUUCCAUUAUUUUUCUGUGGAAAUGUGAAGCAGGGUGUGAAACAUAAUAAUUGGCAGUUCUCCAGUCAGUUGAAGGUGGAUAGGCAUUUCUAUUUGAGGACUGCAAUUACAAUCUUUCACUAUAGUUUCCAUGUUUGGAAGAAAUGAAUAAUUCAGAACACAGACUAUAACAGCUACUAUUAACAGCAUUGAGUACAG